UACAGAGGGUGCAAGCGUUAAUCGGAUUUACUGGGCGUAAAGCGCGCGUAGGUGGCCAAUUAAGUCAAAUGUGAAAUCCCCGAGCUUAACUUGGGAAUUGCAUUCGAUACUGGUUGGCUAGAGUAUGGGAGAGGAUGGUAGAAUUCCAGGUGUAGCGGUGAAAUGCGUAGAGAUCUGGAGGAAUACCGAUGGCGAAGGCAGCAAACUGGCCUAAUACUGACACUGAGGUGCGAAAGCAUGGGGAGCAAAAAGG
rnacentral:rRNA from 1 species